GCCGGGCACAGUGGCGCACGCCUGUAAUCCAAGAGGCUCAAGAGGCUGAGGCAGGGGGAUCAUGAGUUCAAAGUCAGCCUCAGCAACUCAGCAAGACCCUGUCUCUA
rnacentral:sRNA from 1 species